rnacentral:lncRNA from 1 species
ACCAUAUGCCUCAAAGUCACCAAUAAUAUGACUAACCGUUUAAUGGUGCAAUUUCUUACAAACUGCAACAGAUGAAGACCAAAGGUAUAUUUGGGGUUAGUCUAUCAUGUGGUUCUUCCUAGUCUCCCCCACUCAAUUGCCUAGAUUUUCUUUUUUACCAAAACUCACCCCUUUCCAGCAGCAGCAUACCAAAAGGGUCUGCUGGAAAAGGUAGUAGAGUAAAGUUUUUUUAUGUUAGGAAUAUGCAACUUAUGUUUAUUGAAGGCCCAAGGGGCAUAUAUAUAUUACACAAGACUUGAGGUGCAAGGAAAGUAAACAUAGACUAAUAAGGACUCCUAGACUAAUACUAAUAGACUAAUGAGGACUCCUAGACUAAUACUAAUACUUCCUAACACCCCCCCUCAAAUGCAAAGCGUAUGCAAUAGCAUUGCAUUUGAAGAAGUGUAAUACUGAAGAAAAAAAAUGAUAAUCCAAAUCCGCGUCUUGAGAGUGUCGUCAUAGCAUGAAGAGUCUUCAAAACUUGUCGAGUCGCCGAAGGAGAUAACGAAGAGAUGGCACAUCAGAGGUAGACACCGCAUCACUUGAAGAUACAAGAUAAGUAUCAAGAGAAGAUGGGUUGUCAAAAGAAGAUGUCACAUCAAGAGAAUAAAGCAUUGUGCAGAAAAUCAUAGUCCACGACAACCGUCGGCGAAGGAAGCUCGGCGGAUAAGGCACGAUGGACGUAGAUCGGUCAUGCAAAAGAAGUCCAGAAAAUCCUAUAGAAAACAACAAGGGCAAAUAGGCCACAAAAGUUGCAUAGAAAGGAUAAGGACCGGAGAAAGGCUCACGGACUAAGUUAUGGUGGACUCGCAUGGCAUGAGAAAACACAAAAUAUCAACGGAUUUGGUGGACGCAGCGGAAAAUAAAGAGAACUAAAAAAACUAGGAGCAACUGGGACAUAAGCAGCAGCACGUAUAGGAGGAAGCAGCUAGCAGCAGCACGUAUAGGAGGAAGCAGCUAGCAGCAACACGUAGCAGCAGAACGCAGCAGCAGAAUUUUUUUUUUUAGGAAUCAGCAGUAGCAAGCCGGAUCCAAUCGAGAUCAGGACGGGAUUGGGGCGGCGGCUGGCGGUUGCUGCAACAGGAGGCAGAUCCGAGUCGGAUCGCGAGAAGUAGCCGAGCCUCGAUCUGGUGCGGUGGCUGCAGGGAAGACAGCUCCGUCCGAUGGGACCCUGGAGCUGCUUCGAUCCAGUCCAGGGGAGACAGCUCCUCCCGAUGAGAGCCUGGAGCUGCUUAGAUCCGGUGCAGGGAGACAGCUCCUCCCGAUGGGACCCUGGAGCCCCUGUCCCGCGACUGGAUCGGGAGGAAAUCGAUUUGGCGGACGGGAAGCAGCCGCCUCGAUCUGGCUGUGGAGAGGAAGCCUCCUCGAUCUUGGUCGGGAGGGAGCCGCUCGAGGCAUGGGAGGGAACCGCCUCGAUCUGGCGAGCGACGGGAGAAACGCGGAGGGAGCCGCCUCGAUCGGCCUCGAUCUGGCGAGCGACGGGAGAAAACAGCAGCGCUCGGGAUCCCGUCGAGAGUAGAAGGAGAUCGGCAGCAGCUACUAGACGAACAGCGGCUGCGUGGAGAAGAUCGGAGCACGAGUUGCGCGUGCGAAAAAAAAACCUAAGGCUCUAAUACCAUGUUAGGAAUAUGCAACUUAUGUUUAUUGAAGGCCCAAGGGGCAUAUAUAUAUUACACAAGACUUGAGGUGCAAGGAAAGUAAACAUAGACUAAUAAGGACUCCUAGACUAAUACUAAUAGACUAAUGAGGACUCCUAGACUAAUACUAAUACUUCCUAACAUUUUACAGUGUCAAAAAACGUCUUAUAUUUUGAUACGGAGGGGGUAAUACUGAACAACAUGGUACGAUGACACAUGACCCAAAAUAAAAUUUCUCUGAAGUGACCAAAAUACACUAUUCUUAGAGUAGCAACAAUACUAGGAGGGGUAGGAGCCGACCAAAGUUGACAUGGGGGGAGGUGAUAAAAAGAGGCUUGAAGGAUUGGGAUGUACCCAGGGAUUUGUCUCUUGAUAGGACUACAUGGAAUGAUGGAAGUCAGUAGUUCAUGUACCAGAACCUUGAUUUAUUUUGUUUACUUUUACUUUCUCUAUUCUCUUUUGGGUUCUUACUGUUUUCUGUUGGGUUUCAUCUCUAGCCUACCCCAAAUUGCUUGGGAUAAAAAGGCUUUGUUGUUGUUGACCAAAAUACUAUUAUAAAUUCCACCGAGAUAUAAUGAGUGCACUCCAUAAAAUGAGCCAAGUCUGAUCUACACAGCAACAGAGUCAGAUUCAACAUAUACGGAGGUAAACUUCAACCAACGCAUCAUAAUUUCCUAGUCAAAAGGACCAAGAACUAGUCCAGGUCAAAAUCCAUAUUUUCCCCCUCUAACUCCUACAAUACAUAGCAGUACCUAUCAUACGGUACAGUUUUUUCAAAUGUAUUUGCCAUCUGGCACCAAAUUUGAACUUUUCUUGGGAAGGAAGAUGAAACUAAAGUGUGAUCCAAGAGGUCACGAGUUUUUUUAAGAGCCUAUAUACUAGCCACCAGAACAGAUAUGCAAGAAAGUUUCCUAUUCCAGCUGCAUUCUUCCAAAGGUGUCUGCAUAAAUUGACCCAUACUACCCUACAAGACACCUAACAAAUGCAUCAAUCUCUAAACUGGAUGAACCACCUAAUAAGUCCAAUGGUCCAAUACCCCGAAUCUCUUUGACAUUUUCUGGGUCUAAAAGCAAUCAAUAAACAUCAAAGUCCCACUCUUAACUCUGUUGGUCGCCACAUCGUUUCUCCUGUUUAUCAAGGGUUCUAGUCCUAACCCGAGAGCCCGAACCUAGACCUUUCCACUGCAUAGGGC